AGCCUUAUAUUCAAUAAUGAUUUUAAAUUGCAAAUUUAAAGGAGGGUAAAUCCCUAAGGCUU
rnacentral:tRNA from 1 species